rnacentral:tRNA from 1 species
GCACCCCUAGCUCAACUGGAUAGAGCAUCGGACUACGAAUCCGAAGGUUGGAGGUUCGAAUCCUCCGGGGUGUAC